UUAUCACAACUGUGAAUAGUUGCACAAACUCACUACCAAGGAUAGGUAGCUAGUAGAAGCCGGUUGUUUUCUAUAAUCGAUCCGAGAGUUGGGAACUAUCUGUCGAAAGUUAGAGAAAAGUCAGUUAACAGUUGCGUAGCGAUGAGAUUUUGAUUGUAAUGAAGAGGUUAAACCAGAGGGAAGGGGUAAAACUGCUCAGCGACUCUGAGUAUACAAGACAGGAUUUACUGGGUAAGGCUUAGCUGCCCUCAGUCAGAUGUCGCUUAUCAAUUUAUCCUAUAGAAACAGAUAGCUAGAGAGCUAGAGAUAGUCUAGUAAUGUUAGAAGGGAUCAAAAGAGAAGAAGCCAGUAUAGUAAAGAAGAAUAAAGACGGGCAAGGAUCAGAGUGCGCAGCAAAAGCGUAGGAUAGU
rnacentral:lncRNA from 1 species